rnacentral:ncRNA from 2 species
AAAAAUUCUGUGAUGAAGAGAGUAGUUUUGAAGGGAGCGGCAGCGAGUCAGGGGUGGUGGGAGCCUGAUAGCCGAAUUCAAAAUGAAGCGCACUUCUGAGAAACUCCCUGAAAUGAAAGUAGGGUGCAGUCGGAGGAAUCCGUUAUCUUUUUAAGCUGGCCUGUUUGGGCAAUCAGAGUGGUACCGCGGGAAUCCCGUCUCUAAA